ACUACAGGCACGUGCCACCACACCUGGCUAAUUUUUUAGUUUUUGUAGAGAUAGGGGUCUUGCUCUGUUGCCUAGGUGGUACCAAAUUCCUGGGCUCCCGAAGCACUGGGGUUACUGGCAUUGAAAUGAGACCACCACUUCUGCUGUCCUUCCCAGCUUCUCCCCCACCUCCCCUUUUCCCUAGUUCAUAAGACAGGAAAAAAGAGACAAAGCAAAAAGUUGGAAAGAAACAGAAGUAAGAUAAAUAGCCAGAUGACCUUGGUGCUACCGCCCGGCCCUGGUGGUUAAAAUAAUAAUAUUAAUAAUGUUAACCCCUGACCAAAACUACUUGUGUCAUCUGUAAAUUCCAGACAUUGUAUGAGAAAGCACUGUAAAACUUCUUGUUCUGUUAGCUGAUGCAUGUAGCCCCCAGUCACAUUCCUCAUGCUUGCUUGAUCUAUUAUGACAUUUUCAUGUGGACCCCUUAGAAUUGCAAGCCCUUAAAAGGGCUAGGAAUUUCUUUUUUUGGGGAGCUCAACUCUUAAGACGUGAAUCUGCCGACGCUCCAGGCUGAAUAAACCACUUCUUUCUUUAACCUGGUGUCUGAGGAGUUUUGUCUGUGGCUUGUCCUGCUACAUUUCUUGGUUCCCUGACCAGGAAUUGAACCUGGGUCGCAGCAGUGAGCACGCCAAAUCCUAACCACUAGACCACCUGGGAAACUUAGAACUUUGUGUGAAAUAGAUUGGCCGGCAUUAGAAGUGGGUUGGCCAUCAGAAGGAAGCCUGAACAGGCCCCUUGUUUCUAAGUUGUGGUACAAGGUAACUGGUAAAUCAGGACACUCAGACCGAUUCCCAUACAUAGACACUUGGUUACAGCUGGUGCUAGACCCCCCACAGUGGCUAAGAGGGCAGGCGGCAGCAGUGCUAGUAGCAGAGGACAGAGAGCCAAGGAAGGAUCCCACUCCACCCACCGAGGGAAAUCAACUCCUGAAGUUCUGUUCGACCCAACACCAGGAGAUCCAUUGCAGGAGAUGGCACCAGUGAUCCCAGGGGUGCCCUCCCCUUACCAGGGAGAGAGGCUCCCCACUCUUGAGCCCACAGUGCUUGCGCCUCCGUAAGACGAACAUAUCCCUAGGCCAUCCAGAGUAGACAGGGAGGAGGUGAAGCCUCGGGAGAAACCCCUCCCUUGGCAGCUCGUUGACGACCCAGAACUGGGAUACAAAUGCCCCUGAGAGAGCAGCGGAAUACUGGGAUAGAUGAGGAUGGGCGCAUGGUGGAGAGGCGUGUUUUGUGUACCAGCCCUUCACCUCUGCCGACCUUCUCAACUGGAAAAACAAUACCCCGUCCUAUACUGAAAAGUCACAAGCUCUAAUUGAUUUGCUCCAAACUAUUAUCCAGACCCAUAUCCCCACCUGGGCUGAUUGCCACCUGCUGCUCAUGUUCCUCUCUAACACGGCUGAAAGGUGGAGAGUGCUCCAAGCAGCAACUAAGUGGCUGGAGGAACACGCACCAGCUGAUUACUGAAACCCCCGAGAGUAUGUGAGGACCCAGUUCCCAGGAACCGACCCCGGUGGGACCCAGAUUAAAGAGAGGACAUGCAAAGGCUGAACCGCGACAGGGAAGCUCUCCUGGGAGGAUUAAAGAGGGAGCCCAGAAGGCCACAAGGGUUAACAAGGUCUCUGAGGUCAUUCAGGGAAAAGAAGAAAGUCCAACACAAUUCUAUGAGAGACUGUGUGAGGCCUGUCGUUUGUAUACUCCCUUCCAUCCCGAUAGCCCUGAAAAUCAGCGCAUGAUUAACAUGGCUUUAGUUAGUCAAAGCGCAGAAGACAGAAGAAAACUGCAGAAACAGGCUGGGUUUGCAGGGAUGAAUACGUCACAGUUAUUAGAAAUAGCUAACCAGGUGUUUGUAAACAGGGAUGCAGUUUGCCGUAAGGAAAACCGCAGAGAGUGAACGUCAGGCCCGGCGAAACACUGACCUGCUAGCUGCAGCAACCAGAGGGGUCCCCCCAAAGAGGCAAGGGAAGGGGGCGCCCAGGAAAGAAAUUCAGCCUGGCUGUCAGAGUCUGCAGUGUAACCAAUGUGCUUAUUGUAAAGAAAUAGGAUAUUGAAGAACAAAUGCCCUCAGCUAAAAGGAAAACAAGGAGACUCAGAGCAGGAGGCCCCAGACAAGGAGGAAGGGGCCCUGCUCAACCUGGCAGAAGGGUUGUUGGACUGAGGGGGACCGGGCUCAAGUGCCCCCAAAGAGCCUACGGUCCGGAUGACAGUCGGGGGUAAAGACAUCGAUUUUCUUGUAGAUACCGGUGCUGAGCAUUCUGUAGUAACCGCCCCCAGUCGCCCCCUUAUCCAAAAAGACCAUUGACAUAGUCGGAGGUUUCAGCAAAGCAAGCUUUCUGCUUGCCUCGGACUUGUCCUGCAGGAGGACGUAACGUGAUUCGUCAGUUUUUGUACAUGCUUGACUGUCUCUUGCCCUUGUUGGGAAGGGACUUGCUGAGCAAGCUGAGCGCCACUAUCCCUUUUACAGAGCACGGCUCUUUGCUGCUAAAGUUACCUGGGACAUGAGUCAUUAUGACCCUUACGGGCCCCCGAGACGAGGAAUGGAGGCUUUUCUUAACUGAGCCGGGCCAAGAGAUAAGACCAGCUCUGGCUCAGCGGUGGCCAAGAGUGUGGGCAGAAAACAACCCUCCAGGGUUGGCCACCAACCAAGCCCCUGUACUUCUAGAAGUUAAGCCUGGGGCCCAGCCGGUUAGGCAAAAACCAGGUCCCCAGAGAAGCUCUUGGAGGUAUCCAGGUCCAUCUUAAGCACCUGAGAACCUUUGGCAUUAUAGUUCCUUGUCAGUCUCCAUGGAACACUCCCCUCCUGCCUGUUUCCAAGCCAGGGACCAAGGACUACAGGCCGGCACAGGAUUUGCGCCUGGUUAAUCAAGAUACAGUGACUUUACAUCUAACAGUACCUAACCCGUACACAUUGCUGGGGUUGCUGCCAGCUGAGGACACCUGGUUCACCUGCUUGGACCUGAAAGACACUUUCUUUAGCAUCAGAUUAGCCCCUGAGAGCCAGAAGCUCUUUGCCUUUCAGUGGGAAGAUCUGGAGUCAGGUGUCACUACUCUGUAUACUUAGACCUGGCUUCCCCAAGGGUUCAAGAACUCCCCCACCAUCUUUGGGGAGGCAUUGGCUCGAGACCGCCAGAAGUUUCCCACCAGAGUCCUAGGCUGCGUGUUGCUGCAGUACGUCGAUGACCUUCUGCUGGGACACCCCACGGCAGUCGGGUGCACCACGGGAACCGAUGCCCUACUCCGGCACCUGGAGGACUGUGGGUAUAAAGUGUCCAAGAAAAAAGCUCAGAUCUGCUGACAGCAGGUACGUUACUUGGGAUUUACUAUCCGACAGGGGGACGCAGCCUGGGAUCAGAAAGAAAGCAGGUCAUUUGCAAUCUACCGGAGCCUAAGAGCAGAAGGCAGGUGAGAGAAUUCUUAGGAACUGUAGGGUUUUGCAGACUGUGGAUCCCAAACUUUGCAAUAUUAGCCAAGCCUUUGUAUGAGGUCACCAAGGCGGGGACCGGGAACCAUUUGAAUGGGGAUCCCAACAACAGCGAGCCUUUCAUGAGUUAAAGAAAAAACUUCUGUCAACCCCAGCCCUGGGGCUACCCGAUCUGACAAAGCCUUCUACAUUGUAUGUGUCAGAGAGAGAAAAGAUGGCAGUUGGAGUUUUAACCCAAACUGUGGGGCCCUGGCCGAGGCCGGUGGCCUAUCUCUCUAAACAACUAGACAGGGUUUCUAAAGGAUGGCCCCCGUGUUUGAGGGCCUUGGCAGCAACUGCCCUGCUAGUACAAGAAGCAGACAAGCUGACUCUUGGGCAAAACCUGAACAUAAAGACCCCCCAUGCUGUGGUGACUUUAGUGAAUACUAAAGGACAUCAUUGGUUAACGAAUGCUAGACUCACCAAGUACCAAAGUUUGCUCUGUGAAAAUCCCCGUAUAACCACUGAAGUUUGUAACAUCCUGAACCCCGCCACCUUGCUCCUGGUAUCAGAGAUCCCUGUUAAGCAUGACUGUGUUGGACUCAGUUUACUCCAGCAGACCUGACCUCCGGGACCAGCUUUGGGCAACAGUAGAGUGGGAACUAUACGUGGAUGGGAGCAGCUUCAUCAGCUCACGAGGAGAGAGAUGUGCAGGGUAUGCAGUGGUAACCCUGGACACUGCUCUUGAAGCCAGAUUGUUGCCCCAGGGCGCUUCAGCCCAGAAAGCUGAACUCAUUGCUUUAAUUCCGGCCUUAGAACUCAGCGAAGGUAAGACUGUAAACAUUUACACUGAUUCUCGGUAUGACUUUUUAACCCUUCAAGUGCAUGGAGCAUCAUAUAAAGAAAAGGGCCUAUCGAACUCUGGGGGAAAGGACAUAAAGUAUCAACGAGAAAUCUUGCAAUUAUUAGAAGCAGUAUGGAAACCCCACAAGGUGGCAGUUAUGCAUUGCAGAGGACACCAGCGAGCUUCCAUCUUGGUGGGUUUGGGGAAUUCCUGCACUGACUCAGAAGCUCAAAAAGCAGCAUCUGCCCCCUUCCGGGCAUCAGUCACAGCCCCCUGCUCCCUCAAGCACCUGAUCUUGUACCUACUUAUUCUAAAGAAGAAAAGGACUUUCUCCAGGCAGAGAGAGAGGACAAGAGAUGGAGGAAGGGUGGAUUCGGUUACCAGAUGGGAGAGUAGCUGUGUCACAGCUGCAGGAGCCGCAGUUGUACUGGCUGUGCAUGAAACCACCCAUCUAGGUCAGGAGUCACUUGAAAAGUGGUUAGGCCGGUAUUUCUACAUCUCGUGUUUGUCAGCCCUUGCCAAAACGGUGACGCAGCGGUGUGUUACCUGCGGACAGCACAAUGCGAGGCAAGGUCCAGCCAUUCCGCCCGGAAUACAGGCUUAUGGAGCAGCCCCCUUUGAAGAUCUCCAGGUGGGCUUCACAGAGAUGCCAAAGUGUGGCGGUAACAAGUAUCUACUAGUUCUUGUGUGUACCUACUCUGGGUGGGUUGAGGCUUAUCCAACACGAACUGAGUAACCUGCGUGCUUCUUCGAGAUCUUAUUCCUAGAUUUGGACUGCCCUUAUGGAUCGGCUCAGAUAAUGGGCCGGCGUUUGUGGCUGACUGGGUGCAGAAGAUGGCAAAGGUGAUCGAGUGUGGAUCAAGGACUGGAACGUAGCCUCUUUGUGCUCACGGUGGAAAGGACCCCAGACUGUCGUCCUGAACACUCCCACCGCUGUGAAGGUAGAGGGAAUCCUAGCCCGGAUCCACCACAGCCUUGUAAAACCUGCAGCGCCUGAAACCUGGGAGGCAAGACCCAGCCCGGACAACCCCUGCAGAGUGACCCUGAAGACGACGACAAGCCCUGCUCCAGUCACACCCGGAAGCUGACUGGUCCACGCACGGCCGAAGCAUGAGGAAUCUCAUCGUGGGAUUCAUUUUUCUUCAACUUUGGACUUACAUAGUAAGGGCUUCGAUGGACCUUACUCAAACUGGGGACUGUUCCCAGUGUGUUCAUCAGGUCACUGAGGUAGGACAGCAAAUUAAAACAAUCUUUCUGUUCUAUAGUUAUUAUGAAUGUAUGGGUAUGUUAAAAGAAACUUGUUUGUAUAAUGCCACUCAGUACAAGGUAUGUAGCCCGGGAAAUGACCAACCUGAUGUGUGUUAUAACCCAUCUGAGUCCCCUGCAACCACCGUUUUCGAAAUAAGAUUAAGAACUGGCCUUUUCCUAGGUGAUACAAGUAAAAUAAUAACUAGAACAGAAGGAAAAGGAAUCCCCAAACAAGUAGCUUUAAGAUUUAACGCUUGUUCAGCCAUUAAUAGUAACAAGCUAGGAACAGGAUGUGGUUCUGUUAACUGUGAAAGGAGCUACAGAGUAGAAAAUAAAUAUGUUUGUUAUGAGUCA